UUACGACCCACGACUAACUCAAUAUAAUUUUUAAAACAGGCGACUCACAUUCCCACGCUUCUCUGUCUGUCGUAAUGUAAUGUACGCGAUAUACGAACGCCGGUUAAACGGAAACGUUAGUAAAAUUAGAGUUAGGUGAUAGAGUGAUUCGGUUUUUAUUUUUAUAUUGCUCAACAAAUUAUAUUUUUAUUUGUAUGUAACCAUGCGUUCUGUAUGUUUUCGUGUAGGUAUUAUGUAACGAGCAUGUUAUGAUACCAAUGUAAGUGCAGUGUAUAAUAUUUAACAUUAUAAUUUAUUUAUUAAUUUGC
rnacentral:misc_RNA from 1 species